UACGUAGGGUGCAAGCGUUAAUCGGAAUUACUGGGCGUAAAGCGUGCGCAGGCGGUUUUGUAAGUCUGUCGUGAAAGCCCCGGGCUCAACCUGGGAAUUGCGAUGGACACUGCAAGGCUUGAAUCUGGCAGAGGGGGGUAGAAUUCCACGUGUAGCAGUGAAAUGCGUAGAGAUGUGGAGGAACACCGAUGGCGAAGGCAGCCCCCUGGGUCAAGAUUGACGCUCAUGCACGAAAGCGUGGGGAGCAAACAGG
rnacentral:rRNA from 1 species